ensembl:snRNA U6 U6 spliceosomal RNA
GUGCUGCUUCAGCAGCACAUAUACUAAAAUUGGAACGAUAAGAUUAGCAUGGCCCCUGUGCAAGUAUGACAUGCAAAUUCAUGAAGCCUUCCAUAUUUAA